AGGGAGGAAAUGAAAGAUUAUGGGAUAUUUUGAGUGGCAGUUAGAAGGGUAUUUUGGAAUUUUAGAUUUUUCGUAUGAGAGAUAAAACGUUGUUUGAGGGUUUAGUGAGAGACAAAAAAUUUAGCUUUUUUUCCUUCGCUUGCCUUUCAUUUUGUCAAGUACCAUAAACAUAUUUAAAAUCAAACAUAGUAUUGGAGUUCAACAUUGAACCUCCAUUGAUGCACAAAAAUUGAAUAAGAUGAAGAAGAAUUGCAAAAAGAAAAAAG
rnacentral:lncRNA from 1 species